rnacentral:rRNA from 1 species
UACAGAGGGUGCGAGCGUUAAUCGGAAUUACUGGGCGUAAAGCGUGCGUAGACGGUAGCGUAAGUCAGAUGUGAAAGCCCCGGGCUCAACCUGGGAAUGGCAUUUGAGACUGCUCUGCUCGGGUGCGGAAGAGGGAAGCGGAAUUUCCGGUGUAGCGGUGAAAUGCGUAGAUAUCGGAAGGAACACCAGUGGCGAAAGCGGCUUCCUGGUCCGACACCGACGUUCAGGCACGAAAAGCGCGGGGGAGCAAAACAGG